CGCACGGCCACGAGGUGCAGGUUUCUCGAGGCACAGCUUUUUGUUAGAGGUGGCAUCAAUCUCCUUUGCUCAACCACUGUGUGUCAGAUGUGUGGCUCUCGCAUACUACCUGCACCACUGCACAGCUUGUGCCCUGAUUCAUCCCGUCCCGCUGAGAACAGCUGCUUAACUAUGCUCGGGAAUGUGGCUAAGGCUCUUCUGGAAAAUAUCCCUGAAAUGGUAGCUCCCACUGAGACAAACAGGAGCCCAUUCAUUGGAGAGAGAUACAGGAAACAGAGACAGUCAGGUUUGGUCCACAAGCUAUUCAGAAGAGGCAGGAAGUACCCACGAAAGCCCAGUGCUCUUGGGUUGGAGCUGCCAAGACCCGGCUGCCUUGAAGCAGAGCUGGAAAGAUGCUAAGUCUUUGCAAGUGGCCCUGCAGACUGGCACUGUGAACUGCAAUGGAAGUGCUAACACAUUUUGGGAAUGGACGACAUGCUUUUUGUUGCACUGAAUUUUUCAGGUCUGAACACAUCUCUGUACAGCUCUGUAACCAACUAAAUGGGGAGAAAUUUUGUUGGAGUCAAAGGAGUCAUCUGCAUGCAAGCGAUUCAUAAGAAUCAGUGUUUGUGUUUUGCGCCAAAGGUCUUUUUAAAGGCGUGUAGUUCUCUUGGCAUAAACUGCAUUCAUAACUCAAGAC
rnacentral:lncRNA from 1 species